ensembl:misc_RNA Metazoa_SRP Metazoan signal recognition particle RNA
GCCAGGGGCAGUGGGGCAUGCCUGCAGUCCCAGCUACUCGGAAGGCUGAGGCAGGAGUUCUGCACUGCAGUGCACUAUGUCGAUCAGGUGUCCGCACUAAGUUCAGCAUCAAUAUGUUGACCUCCCAGGAGCGGGGGACCACCAGGUUGCCUCUAUGGAAGGGUGAACUGGCCCAGGUCGGAAACAGAGCAGGUCAAAACUCCAGUGCUGAUUGGUAGUGGGAUCGCACCUGUGAAUAGCCACUGCACUCUAGCCUGGGCAACAU